GCGAGGUCACCUGUGGAAAAUGGGCUUCCCUCUUUCCCCACUUCCACUAAAAUGAACCCAUUCUGCCUGCAAUGAUAUCGAAGCCCAGCGCACCAACCUGUGGAGUAGAGCUAUUUACAGAAUUGACUCCCGCCUCUUUGUCCUACAAAAGGAGGAAGAAGAAGAAGAGGAAGAAGACGAAGAAGAAAGAUAGUUGUGUCCUUGACAGAAAAAGCUAUCAAAAAGGAUGGAUUUGAACAUACCUCGCUUCCUUUUAAAGACGAUAUGAAUAAUGAACAUAUCCAGAAAAUGAGCCCAUAACAGAGGAGGGAGAUUGUGUGAUUCUCGCUGUUAUUUUUUGUGUUGGAUUAAUUCUUCUUUCUUUUGCUACCAUUUUAGAAAUCGGAAUAAAGACAAAAUUAAGCCCUAAA